GAUGAACGCUGGCGGCGUGCUUAACACAUGCAAGUCGAACGGAAAGGCCCAAGCUUGCUUGGGUACUCGAGUGGCGAACGGGUGAGUAACACGUGGGUGAUCUGCCCUGCACUUCGGGAUAAGCCUGGGAAACUGGGUCUAAUACCGGAUAGGACCACUUCUUGGGUGUUGUGGUGGAAAGUUUUUUCGGUGUGGGAUGGGCUCGCGGCCUAUCAGCUUGGUGGUGGGGUGAUGGCCUACCAAGGCGUCGACGGGUAGCCGGCCUGAGAGAGUGUACGGCCACACUGGGACCGAGAGACGGCACCGAUACCUACGCGACGGCGCAGGGGGGAAUCCUGACCGAUGGGCGCAAGCCUGAUGCAGCGACGCCGCGUGGGGGAUGACGGCCUUAGGGUUGUAAACUCCUUUCGCUAGGGACGAAGCGUUUUGUGACGGUACCUGGAGAAGAAGCACCGGCUAACUACGUG
rnacentral:rRNA from 1 species